CCCUAUCUCAUCGAAAUCUUCUCCAUCAAUACCCAGUCCUUCAUCAGAGAAAGAAAAUGGAGUACAUUUCGAAACCAGAGUUGUUACCCUUCUUGAGAAUCGACAACUCAGAAGAGAAAGAAGAUUGUUUGCUUCUUCUUAGAUGAUUUGAUUCGGUUUCUACCACUCUGUUUCAACUUAAAAAAGGCAAUUUCAGAUAAUAAGGCCCCUGAGAAUGCUGCAUUUCAGUUGUUCGUUGUUUGGUCUGUGUCAUUUACUCCUAUCUACUCCUCAUUGAGCUGGGGCUGAAAACCUGGUGAGUGGACAAAGCAAUAAUUGAAAUGGGAGUUUAGAACACUUAACCGUAAUUGGAUUUAAGCACAGUAUGCGCACUUGCAUAUGUGAUUGGUCCAAUACCGGAAUAUGGUAUGCAUACCUGUAUGCGUACUAGCAAGGUCAGGUAAAGUCCGGGAGCUAGAGUAUGCAUACCUGUACGCGUACUAGCGAAGUCAGUUGAAGUCCGGGUACUAUAGUAUGCGUAUAUGUAUGCGUACUGGAAUCAACUGAAGUUUGGAAGUGUAUGAAAGUAUGCGUACCUGUUUGCAUACUGGCAAACACAG